CAGCCUAAGGAAGAGGUGGCCUACUAAGUUCAGCUAAUCCGAAUGUCUUGGUGUCCAGCAGGGAGGAAGGAGAGAGUCUGAAUACUGCUCCUUGUCCUCAGAUGAGCUCUUCCUGUACUCAUGUCUGGAUCCGGAGGAAAUAAGACAUGACAUCUGGAGUAUCUCUUCUGCAAGGGAACGCAGAUAAAAGCAGCCUGCAGAACGUGGACUCGGGGGAGACUUCACGUAGCACCCAGUACACGCCACGCCAAGCCGCCGAAGCCAGAGGUGUGUGUCUGGGGCCAGAG